rnacentral:rRNA from 1 species
GACGAACCGAGCGAACGUUAUUCGGAAUCACUGGGCUUAAAGGGCGCGUAGGCGGGCGGUCAAGUCAGGGGUGAAAGCCCCCAGCUCAACUGGGGAAGUGCCUCUGAUACUGGCCGUCUCGAGGGAGGUAGGGGCGUGCGGAACUUCCGGUGGAGCGGUGAAAUGCGUAGAUAUCGGAAGGAACACCGGUGGCGAAAGCGGCGCGCUGGACCUCUUCUGACGCUGAGGCGCGAAAGCCAGGGGAGCGAACGGG